CUAAGCUUGGCAUUAAGAUUAAAUUAAACAAAGAAAAGAAGAUCCUAUCCAUUCGUGAUAGAGGUAUAGGUUUUCCUUCUCAGCUUUUAUCAAUAAGGCUAAUGGGCAUUUGCAAUUUUUGAGGAUAUAUGGAAUGAACCACUCGUCCAUGGGACUGAAAUUGGAUUGCAUGUCAGAGAAGAAGACUAAAGCCCACCCUACGUGGAAAACAACUUUCAGCUGCUGGUGAUAUGCCUCCACCAACGAUUUAGAUUGGGAGGACCGUGGAGUUGAAGGCUCAUUUUUGUUUCUUUUGUUGUAAUUAUAUUUUGUACAAGUCUAAGGCUUUUAAUUGUUUGACUUUAUCCAUUUUGUUGUAACCAAGUAAUGUCUUGGGAAGAUGUAGCCAUUCGGAUUUAACUUAUUUGUAUUACACUUUUAUUUCAGUUUACUCAUAUGUGACAUAUGCUAUAGAUUCAAGAUCUAAGAUUUAUGAAUGUA